GGUUUUUUAGUUUAAUUUAAAAAUUUUAGUUUUGUAAAUUAAUGAUGUAUGUUUUACAAAAACCA
rnacentral:tRNA from 1 species